UAGGGAAUAUUGCACAAUGGGGGAAACCCUGAUGCAGCGACGCCGCGUGAAGGAAGAGGUAUCUCGGUAUGUAAACUUCUAUCAGCAGGGAAGACAAUGACGGUACCUGACUAAGAAGCCCCGGCUAACUACGUGCCAGCAGCCGCGGUAAUACGUAGGGGGCAAGCGUUAUCCGGAUUUACUGGGUGUAAAGGGAGCGUAGACGGAUCUGCAAGUCUGGAGUGAAAGCCCGGGGCUCAACCCCGGGACUGCUUUGGGAAACUGUGGAUCUAGAGUGCCGGAGAGGUAAGCGGAAUUCCUAGUGUAGCGGUGAAAUGCGUAGAUAUUAGGAGGAACACCAGUGGCGAAGGCGACUAUCUGGCACAUAACUGACACUGAGGAGCGAAAGCGUGGGUGCAAACAGGAUUAGAUACCC
rnacentral:rRNA from 1 species